UAAGGAAUAUUGCUCAAUGGGAGAAAUCCUGAAGCAGCAACGCCGCGUGGAGGAUGAAGGGUUUUUAACUUGUAAACUCCUGUAAAGAAGGAAAAAAUUCCCAUUAGAUGGGAAAUGAUGGUACUUCUGGAGUAAGCCCCGGCUAACUACGUGCCAGCAGCCGCGGUAAUACGUAGGGGGCAAGCGUUGUCCGGUUUUAACUGGGUGUAAAGGGUGCUCAGGCGGAUUUGUAAGUCAGAGGUGAAAUCUCACAGCUUAACUGUGAAACUGCCUUUGAUACUGCAAGCCUAGAGUAUGGAAGAGAGUGAUGGAAUAUCUGGUGUAGCAGUGAAAUGCGUAGAUAUCAGAUAGAACACCAAUGGCGAAGGCAGUCACUUGGUCCAUAACUGACGCUAAGGCACGAAAGCGUGGGUAGCAAACAGGAUUAGAUACCCUGGUAGUCCACGCCCUAAACGAUGAAUACUAGAUGUUGGCUUCGCAUGAAGUCAGUAUCUGAGCUAACGCAUUAAGUAUUCCACCUGGGAAGUACGAUCGCAAGGUUGAAACUUAAAUGAAUUGACGGGGUCAUAGC
rnacentral:rRNA from 1 species